rnacentral:rRNA from 1 species
GAGUAACACGUGGAUCAUCUACCUUCUGGUGGGGAAUACCCCCGGGAAACUGGGGACAAUUCCGCAUAAGCUCGGAAGAGGAAAGCAGCAAUGCGCCGGAAGAGGAGUCCGCGGCUGAUUAGCUUGUUGGCGGGGUAAUGGCCCACCAAGGCGAAGAUCGGUAGCCGGCCUGAGAGGGCACACGGCCACACUGGCACUGAAACACGGGCCAGACUCCUACGGGAGGCAGCAGUGGGGAAUCUUGCACAAUGGGGGAAACCCUGAUGCAGCGACGCCGCGUGAGCGAUGAAGCCCUUCGGGGUGUAAAGCUCUUUCGACGGGAACGAUAAUGACGGUACCCGAAGAAGAAGCUGCGGCUAACUACGUGCCAGCAGCCGCGGUAAUACGUAGGCAGCAAGCGUUGUUCGGAAUUACUGGGCGUAAAGAGUGUGUAGGCGGUGCUCUAAGUUCGGUGUGAAAUCUCCCGGCUCAACUGGGAGGGUGCGCCGGAAACUGGAGUGCUCGAGGUU